rfam:Clostridium sp. CAG:253 genomic scaffold, scf258
AAAAUUCUUCAGGGCGGGGUGUGAUUCCCCACUGGCGGUAAAGUCCGCGAAUCGAUUGUAUCAGGUGUGUUGAGGAUAUCUGUUGGAUUGCUCAAAACCAAAACAUUGAUUAUAUCGACUGAAUCGGUGAAAUUCCGAUACCAACAGUAUAGUCUGGAUGAGAGAAGAUUUUA